UACGACCACAGCCCGUUGAAACACCUGUUUCCGUACGAUCACUGAAGUCAAGCAACGUUGUACCUGUUCAGUACCUAGAUGAGUGACCGCUUGU